AACGUACGCUGGCGGCACGCCUAACACAUGCAAGUCGAACGAAGUAGCAAUACUUAGUGGCAGACGGGUGAGUAACAUGUGGGUAUCUACCCUUUGGCCUGGAAUAACACGAGGAAACUUGUGCUAAUACCGGAUAAGUCUUUACGGAGAAAGCUUUAUGCACCAUUGGAUGAGCCCGCACUAGAUUAGUUUGUUGGUGGGGUAAUGGCCUACCAAGACUGUGAUCUAUAGCUGAUUUGAGAGGAUGAUCAGCCACAUUGGGACUGAGACACGGCCCAAACUCCUACGGGAGGCAGCAGUGGGGAAUCUUGCACAAUGGAGGAAACUCUGAUGCAGCGAUGCCGCGUGAGUGAAGAAGGCCCUUGGGUUGUAAAGCUCUUUCGUCGGGGAAGAAAAUGACUGUACCCGAAUAAGAAGGUCCGGCUAACUUCGUGCCAGCAGCCGCGGUAAUACGAAGGGACCUAGCGUAGUUCGGAAUUACUGGGCUUAAAGAGUUCGUAGGUGGUUGAAAAAGUUGGUGGUGAAAUCCCAGAGCUUAACUCUGGAACUGCCAUCAAAACUUUUCAGCUAGAGUAUGAUAGAGGAAAGCAGAAUUUCUAGUGUAGAGGUGAAAUUCGUAGAUAUUAGAAAGAAUACCAAUUGCGAAGGCAGCUUUCUGGAUCAUUACUGACACUGAGGAACGAAAGCAUAGGUAGCGAAGAGGAUUAGAUACCCUCGUAGUCCAUGCCGUAAACGAUGUGUGUUAGACGUUGGAGGUUUAUUUUCAGUGUCGCAGCGAAAGCGAUAAACACACCGCCUGGGGAGUACGACCGCAAGGUUAAAACUCAAAUGAAUUGACGGGGACCCGCACAAGUAGUGGAGCAUGUGGUUUAAUUCGAAGAUACGCGCAGAACCUUACCAACACUUGACAUGUUCGUCGCGACUCUAAGAGAUUAGAGUUUUCGGUUCGGCCGGACGAAACACAGGUGCUGCAUGGCUGUCGUCAGCUCGUGUCGUGAGAUGUUGGGUUAAGUCCCGCAACGAGCGCAACCCUCACUUUUAGUUGCCAUCAUUAAGUUGGGCACUCUGAAAGAACUGCCAGUGAUAAGCUGGAGGAAGGU
rnacentral:rRNA from 1 species